GGGCCGUGCACAGGGGGGUGGCCCGGUGGCCAGAGCCACUGCCCCUCUGCCCUCAUCGACUGAGGUGCCCCUUUUCCCCACCGCUCCGCUCAAAGCAUUCCGGUGAUUGCGCGAAUCCGCUCCAGGUUUUCCCGCUCGCUCCGCAGCAUCACUCACAGUAUGUGUCUGCGGCGCUUGUGAACACGACAGUUCACGAAAGCUGUCGCAUUAACAGCUGCUGAAAAUCUGUGGAACACUACCUGUCUCAACAGCCACUGUUGAACGCUCAUUCUCGAAGUUGAAGCUGGUGAAAACAAAACUUCGUAAUGCGUGUGGACAGGAACGACUCUCUGAUCUUCUGCUUCUGGCCAUUGAAAAAGACAUCCCAAUCAUAAAAGAUGAGGUUAUUAAGAUCUUUCAGGACAUAGUACCAAUUAAAAAAGUGUUGCUGUAAAUGGAACAAGUAAAUAUAAAAAAGGAUCAGUAAUGUGUAAUUGUGAUGUUCUAUCAAAACUUCUACAAUAAAGUCUGAAAUGUA